UCAUUAACUGAAUCCAUAGGUUAAUGAGGCGAACCGGGGGAACUGAAACAUCUAAGUACCCCGAGGAAAAGAAAUCAACCGAGAUUCCCCCAGUAGCGGCGAGCGAACGGGGAGGAGCCCAGAGCCUGAAUCAGCAUGUGUGUUAGUGGAAGCGUCUGGAAAGGCGCGCGAUACAGGGUGACAGCCCCGUACACAAAAGCGCAUGUGCUGUGAGCUCGAUGAGUAGGGCGGGACACGUGGUAUCCUGUCUGAAUAUGGGGGGACCAUCCUCCAAGGCUAAAUACUCCUGACUGACCGAUAGUGAACCAGUACCGUGAGGGAAAGGCGAAAAGAACCCCGGCGAGGGGAGUGAAAAAGAACCUGAAACCGUGU
rnacentral:rRNA from 2 species